UAUUCGGUUACAUGCAACCGAUAUUCGAUUCCAGGAUUAGGAAGGAUUUUUAUUUGGUUCUCAAGCAUUGUAUUCGAUGAAAAUUAAGGAUAUGUAAUGUUGAUUUUGCUGAACAUGGUGAUUUUGUUGGUGGUUGUCAUGAAAAUUGAGGAUGGUGGAGUUUCAGAAGUGAGAAUGGUGUGGGGGGAGAGAGGAAUAAUUAAAGUGUUUAUCUCAAGGGUUUGUGUGAGAGAGGAUGAGAUUAAUGUAGACAUUGACGAAGACAUUCUAUGUGUUUUUGUUUUUGGUUGUGGUUGUUUUUUAUUGCCCUCUGUUGUUGCUUGCAUGAAAUACUGGGAAAUGUUCUUAACUUUGCAUACACG
rnacentral:lncRNA from 1 species